UGAACUGUUCAACGAAUAUUCAAAGGAUAUGACGAGUGGAGUACUCCGAGUCUUUGGCUUUACAGGAGCUGGAAUGCACACAGGAG